CAGCAGUAGCCGCGGGAAUACGAAGGGGGCUAGCGUUGCUCGGAAUUACUGGGCGUAAAGGGCGCGUAGGCGGACAGUUCAGUCGGGGGUGAAAGCCCGGGGCUCAACCUCGGAAUUGCCUUCGAUACUGGCUGUCUUGAGUAUGAGAGAGGUGUGUGGAACUCCGAGUGUAGAGGUGAAAUUCGUAGAUAUUCGGAAGAACACCAGUGGCGAAGGCGACACACUGGCUCAUUACUGACGCUGAGGUGCGAAAGCGUGGGGAGCAAACAGGAUUAGAUACCCGUGUAGUCCCUGUCUCUUAUAU
rnacentral:rRNA from 1 species